UGAAGGACAAAUUAGUAAUAAAAAAUAUAUUUUCAAGCACAAAUUCGAAGUCAAAAUUGUAAAUUUAAUGUCCAAAGAAGGGGAUAGUUGCCGCGUAAAUUUUCGAAAGUUACCCUUCACCUUCUAUAAAUCCCACCACUGGCCUCAUGUUCAUCACAAAUUUCACUUCUCUUCAAUCUCCAUCUACACCUUAGCCUUCUCUCCAAGAAACCAAUUACCAAAUUCUUGAAUUCCAGACAAAUCACCAUGCCAAUGAAGAAAUCAAGUGUUUUUGCUGCUUCGGUUGCUGCAGCUUCUGCUACUGCCCUCUCUGUUUCUUCCUCUUCUCCUAGUUUUAACUCUAAUGUUAAGGAAGCUGGGUCAAACAAAGACCAACAAGGACCUGCUUCCAUGGAGAAAUUUACACCAAGGUUUGACGGGCUGAGGUUUAUUGAAACACUGAUCACUGCUCACAGAUGAAGAGAUGAGAGACAGAGAGUCAUCUGGCCUUGAUAGCUCCAUGGAUGAUAUUGAUUAGCAGUACUAAUUUUAGCUAAUACCCAUCUUUUCUCUUUAAUCCAGAGGGGAAAAAAAAAGAUGGCAUAAAGAAAGUUUGACUUUUUUUUUCUUGGGUGGACUGUAAUGCCUGAGUUGAGAUUUUGUAAUAGUAUUUUCACUCAAAUUGUCUGUCCUGUUCAUUAUUCAAAUAUCUGAUUUUUCUUUGUGCUA